rnacentral:misc_RNA from 1 species
GAAAUGCGAUAAGUAGUGUGAAUUGCAGAAUUCAGUGAAUCAUCGAAUCUUUGAACGCACAUUGCGCCCCUCGGUAUUCCGUGGGGCAUGCCUGUUCGAGCGUCAUCUACACCCUCAAGCUCUGCUUGGUGUUGGGCGUCUGUCACGCCUCCGCGCGCGGACUCGCCCCAAAUGCAUUGGCAGCGGUUCCUUGCCCCCCUCUUUGCGCAGCACAUUGCCAUUCGAGGCGGCGGCGGCCCGCGUCCAACAAGCUCAACCCCCCCGUCUUUGACCUCGGAUCAGGUAGGGAUACCCGCUGAACUUAAGC